rnacentral:rRNA from 1 species
UACGUAGGGGGCUAGCGUUAUCCGGAUUUACUGGGUGUAAAGGGAGCGUAGACGGCAUGGCAAGUCAGAUGUGAAAGCCCGGGGCUCAACCCCGGGACUGCAUUUGAAACUGUCAGGCUGGAGUGCAGGAGAGGUAAGCGGAAUUCCUAGUGUAGCGGUGAAAUGCGUAGAUAUUAGGAGGAACACCAGUGGCGAAGGCGGCUUACUGGACUGUAACUGACGUUGAGGCUCGAAAGCGUGGGGAGCAAACAGG